UUCCCCACUUAUCGCUUCUGGAAAAAAUUGGGUUUCUGUAACUCAAUGCGAUAAUUUCGAUUUUCGAUUUGUUUAGGCUGGAAAUUCCAUUGGAAGGCGAUAAGUAGAACUGUCAAAUUGACAUUUUAAAACAAGAAAAAAACAUAAAGUGAAAUUAAAAUUGCAUUUAUUAUUCUUGAUUUUAUUAAAUUAUUUAAAUAGUGUAUUUUUAUUGAAAAUGUUCGCUAUUUUCAUUGAAGAAGCUUACCAAUGCCGCAACAAAAUGCGUAUAGAACGCCGCAUGCUUCGAGACAGCACAAACCCCUUCGAAAUGCCCCAGGAACGUUUCCGUGAGGUAUUCCGGCUGAGCCGUAAUCCAGCGCUGAUUUUGGUGGAGGAAAUACGUCAAUAUUUGUCACAGGGACAAAGAAGAACUUUUAUCCCUAUCCCCCUCCGCGUUUGCUCGGCAAUCCACUUUUUUGCAACGGGAUCCUACCAGAGAGACAUUGGCCAUGAUUUUUCCGUAGCAAUGAGCAGAUCCAUGAUCUCACGGUGUAUAGCUGAUGUGUCAAAAGUUCUCCAAAAUAAUUUGAUGAACAAAUGGAUUAAGUUUCCAAGGAUAGAAGACUACGAAGCCAUUAAACGGAGGCUUUCCUGGGGUGAUUGGUGCAAUUGACUGCACCCAUGUACGGAUACAAAAAUCAAGCCGUGACAUUGAAGCCUGCUACCUUAACCGAAAAGGUUUCCAUUCGAAAAAUGUACAAUUGAUAUGUGACUUCGAUCUAAAAAUCCUAGAAGGUUUCGCAAGAUAUGGAGGUGCUGCCCAUGACGCCUACAUUUGGGAGGCUUCUCAAAUAAAUGUGCUGCUAGAAAGGCGUUAUGAAGCAUGUGGACCCGGUGAGCAUAAUUCAUGGCUCUUAGGAGAUUCGGGAUACCCUCUACGUCCUUGGCUUAUGACGCCAUACCGUGCUACAUCAAAUACAGUCGAUAGACGUUUCAACACUAUACAUGCGCGCACAAGGAAUUGUGUAGAAAGAUUAAACGGUGUUCUGAAGUCCGUGUUUCGGUGCCUUCGAGUUGGGCUAUUUGCCAAUAAAGAAUAUAAUCAAAAUAAUUUGCGCCUUUAUUUUAUUGGAACGGUUUUCUUUAAGCUUUAUUGAUAUUUGUGGUUCAUGAUUGAAGUGUUUCUAUUUCGCUCGAAAUUUUUGAGUUACAUACAAACCACCAUCAUUUCAGAAAUAUGUUCUUUAUUUGGGUGGUUGAAACUGCUCUGAGUUCUAAUUUAUGUCACGUAAGUGUUCAUUACACCCUCUUUCAAUUUAUGGAAUUUUAAAAAAUAAUUCCCAUGUAAAAGUAUUUUUAACAUUUUUAAUUUUCAAAAAAAAAUGUUGAAACGUUUUUUAUAUGGACAUUUUUUGAGAUAAUUUUUUGAAUUAAAAAUGCUUUCCGGAACUAGUUAGAAGACACAAAUAAGAACUCAGAGCAGUUUCAAUCAUCCCAAUGGAGCAAGUAGUUUUGAAAUGACAGUGGUUUGUGUGUACCAUUUACAAGAAUUUCGUAUGAAAUUAGAGAGAAAUUCUUGUAAGUGUUGAGCUUUGGUGGGAGUUUGGGCAAUUGAAUUGCCCCCUGGCAAACUCUUUGUGGUCCUCCAUAAAUUGCACCAAGUAUUCUUUUUGGGCCCUUGUAACCCGGGAACAUCUCUGAAAAUACAGUUUAUUUAUUUAUUUAUUAUUAUUCUAUCAAUAAUAAGCAAUUUAUGUACAUUUAUUUAUGUACCUUAAUACUUUGUACUUACCUUUGCGACUUCGCUCAUUUUUAAGUUUUAUGUUGUUUUCUAUAAUUCCUUCCUUAUCGCCGCUUUUAAUUAGGUGAUAUAUUUUGACGUUUAAUGUGAAAAAGUUAUCGACUUUUAGAGAUACAGAAACCCAUUUUAUCGCAUUUUUCCA